UGCGUAGGGUGCAAGCGUUAAUCGGAAUUACUGGGCGUAAAGCGUGCGCAGGCGGUUUUGUAAGACAGAGGUGAAAUCCCCGGGCUCAACCUGGGAACUGCCUUUGUAACUGCAAGGCUAGAGUACGGCAGAGGAGAGUGGAAUUCCGCGUGUAGCGGUGAAAUGCGUAGAUAUGCGGAGGAACACCGAUGGCGAAGGCAACCCCCUGGGCCUGUACUGACGCUCAUGCACGAAAGCAUGGGGAGCAAACAGG
rnacentral:rRNA from 1 species